AUGAAAGGGCGCCGCAGGCCAGGCCGCCCCGCGCGGGUUCAGAACUUUCUGCGACUUAAAUCAGUUCCUGAGCUCGCAGGCCGGCCGCGCGGCCAUCGGAAACAAGCUCGGGAAAAGAGAUCCCGACGCAGGGCGGCCAGGCCUGCCUCCAGGCCGAACGUCCCUGCUCCGUGCCUGCCCGCGGGGCCGGGGUCCCCACGGUGCCUGCACGGCCUCGCCCGGCCGGCUCCGGGCGAGCGCACUUCCGAGCGCGCCCCGGGGCCCGGGCAGGUGAGAACCCGCCCGCGCCGCACCUGGCGGGGUUGGCGGCGCCCGCGCGCCCUGCUCGCCGGCCCGGGACGCGCGGGACGGGGCCCGGCGUCCCGGGAGGGGCCGGGCGGGCGAGACAAAGGGCCGCGCGCGGCCCCGGGCGGCGGGCGCGGCGGGGCGGCGGGCCCGCGGCGCGCGCCCCAACUCGCCCCCAACUUGCAAAGUCGCUUCGGCGGCGGCGCGGCGCACUUGGCCGCGGGGCCAACCGAGUCGCCCGGACGCCCGGGCCAUUGUCCCCGGCCCGCGCCCACCUACCCGCGGCGGGGCCAGGCUGCAGCAGAGCGCGAGCAGCAGCAGCAGCGGCGGCGGAGGAGGAGCGGGAGACCGGGGCGGCGCCGCCUCCAUGUUGUCCGGAGCCGGACGGGCCCGCGCCGCGCUCACUCGGCUCCAUGGCGGGGUUGGCGGCGCCCGCGCGCCCUGCUCGCCGGCCCGGGACGCGCGGGACGGGGCCCGGCGUCCCGGGAGGGGCCGGGCGGGCGAGACAAAGGCCCGCGCGCGGCCCCGGGCGGCGGGCGCGGCGGGGCGGCGGGCCCGCGGCGCGCGCCCCAACUCGCCCCCAACUUGCAAAGUCGCUUCGGCGGCGGCGCGGCGCACUUGGCCGCGGGGCCAACCGAGUCGCCCGGACGCCCGGGCCAUUGUCCCCGGCCCGCGCCCACCUACCCGCGGCGGGGCCAGGCUGCAGCAGAGCGCGAGCAGCAGCAGCAGCGGCGGCGGAGGAGGAGCGGGAGACCGGGGCGGCGCCGCCUCCAUGUUGUCCGGAGCCGGACGGGCCCGCGCCGCGCUCACUCGGGCUCCAUGGCGCGGCUGCCGGGCCUCGCGCGGCUCCGGGCGCCUGCCGCCUCCCCUCGGGCGCCGCGGGCCAGGACGACGGGGAGGAGGGAGGAGGCGCGGGAGCGGAAGCCGAGCCGCGUCUCCGCCCCCGCCGCCGCCGCCGCCGCCGCCCUCCGCGCCCCCAGCGCCGGCCGCGCCCUCCUGCGGGCGCCCCGGAGCCGGCCCGCUGCGAGGCGACCGCCGCGCGCGGGUCCCAGCGCUCUGCCCGCGCCCCUGCCCCCGGGGCCGGGCGCCGGGGCUCCGCGGGGCGGGAGCCCGGUUUGCACCCUGCAGGGCCUGGGGCCGGAUCGAGCCCCGGAAGCAGGUGUGUCACCUGUUAAGAGCGGCCAGGACCGAGCUCGCCCGGUGGGGAAACUGAGGCACGGGGCCUGGUGUGCGAAAGGGCUUGCCCCAGGGCACGCGCGGUCAGGCAUUUUCGGGGCUGGAAGCCAGGGGCCCCUAGCCAGGUGCGCGCGCUUUCCGGCGACCGCAGCCACCCCAGCAGGGUCCUCCUCGGGCGGUCCCACGACACCUAUGCUCACCGGGAGGGGCCUGGAAGGCGACCACAGGCGGGGCCGGGGCAGGGACAGAAGCGGGUGA
rnacentral:lncRNA from 1 species